rnacentral:lncRNA from 1 species
GAGUGAAUUCUAAGGAGUAUCGAGAACAGUGAUUAAAACAGAAGGUGGGGAGAGAGAGAGAGAGAGAGACAACUGCUGAACAUAGACCCAAGGCAAAAUAUCCUUGAGUAGAGGAACAGUGUGAGAGUGAAGCUGUAGUGCUGGUUGGGGUUAAUCAGGAUGGGCUCACUGGGCAAGACCAGGUUGUGGGGGGCAAAGGAGAUGGAAAAUUGUGUGAAGAGAAGAAGGGUGGACUAGGUAGAUAAAGGUAGUGGACUAGGUAAAUAAAGGUGGUAAUUCAGACAUCCACUUUAGGCUUCAAAUCACUUUAGGAGAAGUGGUGGUCUAUUGCUUUGCCCUUUAGUAGCAACAUGCUUAUUAUAC